GAUGAAGAACGUAGCGAAAUGCGAUACUUGGUGUGAAUUGCAGAAUCCCGUGAACCAUCGAGUCUUUGAACGCAAGUUGCGCCCGAAGCCUCGGCUAAGGGCACGUCUGCCUGGGCGUCACGCAUCGCGUCUCCCCCAAACCGCCAAGGCGGAGGGGAAGGAAGAUGGCUUCCCGUGCCUCACCCGGCGCGGUUGGCCUAAAUUUGGAGCCCGCGGCACUUAGCUCUCGCGGCGAUAGGUGGUGAACAAGGCCUUGGCCGUGCAAACAACCCGCUGCGAAGCUCUAUGUCACGUGCGCUCGUCGGACCCUUUGAAGUUGAUUUCAGUGACUUAAAACCUUUGCGACCCCAGGUCAGGCGGGGCUACCCGCUGAAUUUAAGCAUAUCAAUAAGCGGAGGA
rnacentral:misc_RNA from 1 species